AGGAACUCAACCAAAGUUGUCCCGAGACAAGGUAACUUGUAGAAUUAGUUGAGAACUUGAGAUGUGCAUAAGCUGGCCUGUCCAUCAUGGUUAU